CAAAACCGUAGUUUUGCACUGUUUAUGUCCAAUGUUUGAACGUCCGUUUUAUUUGAAAUUUUAUUAUAAUUAAUAUUUUUUUUAUUGUUAUUAGAUAAUAAAACAUGAAUAGUACUUUAUGUGUAACUGAUUUUUUAAAAUUUUUUAUAAACUUUUCAAAUAAGAUGGACGGUCAGACGUUUGAUACGGAAACCACAAUUGUAUUUAAA
rnacentral:pre_miRNA from 1 species